GACGAACGCUGGCGGCGUGCCUAAUACAUGCAAGUCGAGCAGUUUCGCACGGGUGAGUAACGCGUAGGUAACCGCCUCCUAGCGGGGGAUAACUAUUGGAAACGAUAGCUAAUACCGCCUACUGUGAGCUGGACCUGCGUUGUAUUAGCUAGUUGGUGAGGUAAAGGCUCACCAAGGCGCCGAUACAUAGCCGACCUGAGAGGGUGAACGGCCAAACUGGGACUGGGACACGGCCCAGACCCCUACGGUAGGCAGCAGGAGGGAAUCUUCGGCAAUGGACGGAAGUCUGACCGAGCAACUCCGCGUGAGUGAAGAAGGUUUUCGGAUCGUAAAGCUCUGUUGUUAGAGAAGCGGUAACGAACCAGAAAGGGACGGCUAACUACGUGCCAGCAGCCGCGGUAAUAC
rnacentral:rRNA from 1 species